rnacentral:rRNA from 1 species
GACGUAGGGCGCGAGCGUUGUCCGGAUUUAUUGGGCGUAAAGAGCUCGUAGGCGGCUUGUCGCGUCGUCCGUGAAAACCCACAGCUCAACUGUGGGCUUGCGGUCGAUACGGGCAGGCUAGAGUUCGGUAGGGGAGACUGGAAGUUCCUGGUGUAGCGGUGAAAUGCGCAGAUAUCAGGAGGAACACCCGUGGCUAAGGCGGCUCUCUAGUACGGUACUGACGCUGAGACGCGAAAGCGUGGGGAGCGAACAGG